AUUUUACACUUAAUGUGGUGGGAGAAAAAUGGCUUUACUGGUGCAUGCUUAAGGCAUACAGGUGGGGUGUACUGUGUACUCUUUAUUGGUCAUUGGUUCUUGAUUCAAUGGCAUGACCUUUUAUCUGAUAAAAGGUUUUUGAUAGUAAAAUUUUAACAUGUUAAGUCAAGACAUUCAUUCAAAUGAUAUCUGGGUUAUUGCAUAAAUGCAUUAUUUUUUUCUUAAUUAGUUGAGUAUUUUUAGGGGAAAGAUAUAUUUUCCCAGUGUUACAUAAUUAAGUAUACAUGGGAAGGUAUCUCCCUCUUUCUUGAGGUUUGAUUUAAUCACAUGGGACUCUUCCUAAAACCAUACUAAAUGGAUUAACAUGUGCAUGUGGCCGCUAUAUUCAUGUAAUUUUUUCAGAUCCUUCUCCCAUUUUGCGAGCAUUGCCGCUCAUCAUAUUUGGAGGCUUUGUGGUGUGGACGAUAAAGAAGUCCAUUUACGUGAAUGGAUGAAGGGUUUGUCUAGACUCUAGGGUAACCUUCAUCCUAAUAUCUAUGGAAGAUGUCUUCUACACUUUCUUGAAAGUGCAUAUUUUCAUAUUUGCCCAAUUCAAGAAAGGUCUCAAGCUCUCCCUUUCCUACGAUCAAUAAAAGGAUGGUUUAUGAGCUUUGAUGUAGCAGCUAAAUUGAGGUUCUAAAGUAUCAUCUCGUAAGAAAUCAAAGUUUCGUACUCAUACAUGAAAAGACAAAAUAGACCCCUAGAAAAUCACCACCACCCUCCUUAACAAAGCCCAUGUAUCAUCUAUUCAACAAUAGCAAACUUAUUUUUGUCCAAAAUUGCAAGUGACAUCAUGUCAUUUGUCUUCAGUGAAAAAAUUACUUAUAACAUACUUUAUUUUAAACCUUAAUGGCGAUUUUUUGUUUUUCUAUAUUUGUUAUUUAGUAAAAUUAGAUAACCUUAAAUCAUGAGAUUUAUAAUGUAUUAUCAUUUGUAUGACAUUAAAAACAGGUUGUUUUAGGCCAAAAAAAAAAAAGCACUUUGCUCGUUCAGAUUUCAGACACUCCCCACCUGAACUUAAUCUCAAAAACUAAACCAACAUUGACAUAUUGUCUUUUCAAUUUUUUCAAAGAAGUGAAAAUUAAAAAUCAUUUUUUAUAAGCUGUUUUUUAUUAUUUUUAGAAACAAAUUUUCAUUUCAGGAUUUACAAUAUCGUAAAAUUUAUUUAAAAAAUACUUUAAAUUUAUUUUAAAAAAUUUGAAAUAUAAACUAUUUUCUAUUAUAUGUUUUACUAUUUUCAAAUACCAUAACAUUAUAUAAUAAUAUUUACUAAAAAAAACACAUUCUUCCUUUUUUCAAAUAUUACAAGGGGCGUGACUUGGUGGGCACUGUUCUGGUCCUUCGUAAGUUCGUCCCUCCCACAAAACCUCUAAAAUCAGAAGAGUAAAAAAAGAAAAAACCUUAAUACAACGUCGCUCAAAUUCCUCAAAAUUUACAGCCUCCCUAACAACAUAUUUAUAUUUCUGCAACUCUCUCUCUCUAACGUUCCUCUUCUUCUCUGUCAGCAACGCCUAGCCCUUUCUAGGGUUUCCUAAUUUCUAAAUUUAUUCUUGUUCUUGUGCUUUUUGAUUUUUCUAUUUCAACCACGGCCGUCUUUCUCAUCCCCUUCUCUCCAAUUCUCCACUUUCUAAUUUCCUUCUCUUGAUUUGGCCCUUCCUCCUCCUGGUUUUCCGCUCUCUCUUUCUGUCUAUUUUUUGGGUAGUUUGAGUCGUGGCCUACGGUUGGGUACAUUUCGAGUUCCUUCGUCUCUUUGCAUUGGCUCAAUUUCGGGUGCGGGUGGGUGGCAUGGCGUUUGUGUUUCGGCGGGUUUUAGGGCUCCCGGGUUGGAAACUUGGCUCUCUGGAUCGUUUUGUGGAAAGCUAGGGUUUUCUUUUUUUUGAUUUGGGAGUUUGGUGGUCUAGGAAUCACAGUGUUUUAUUCUUUUUGUUUAACGUUUUUCUUCAAUUGGAGGGUGGCGAGGGGCAUUGUUUUGUCGGAAUGAAUAGCGUUUUUAGUGAACAGAUUCUGGCAGAUAAGCUUUCCAAGCUCAACAGCACCCAACAGUGUAUCGAAACGUUAUCACAUUGGUGUAUUUUUCACCGGAGCAAAGCAGAACUAGUUGUUGCAACAUGGGACAAACAGUUUCACAGUUCAGAAAUGGCUCAGAAAGUUCCCCUUUUGUACCUUGCAAAUGAUAUUCUACAGAACAGUAAACGUAAAGGGAACGAAUUUGUUAGUGAGUUUUGGAAGGUUCUUCCUGCAGCACUUAAGGCCGUUGUCGAGAAAGGCGAUGAUCAUGGAAAGAACGUGGUCUCUCGAUUGGUUCAUAUAUGGGAAGAAAGGAGAGUGUUUGGAUCCCGUGCACAGAGUCUCAAUGAUGUAAUGCUUGGGGAAGAACUGCCUCCACCCUUGGAAUUCAGCAAAAAACGUUCUCGUUCUGUCAAAAUUGUAAGAAGGGAUAUGCGCUCCAUAAGAACGAAAUUAUCUAUUGGAGGGUCAGCAGAAAAAAUAGUGUCUGCAUUUCAUGUGGUGCUUAGUGAUCAAUCCACUGAAGAUGCUGAGAUGAAUAAAUGCAAAUCUGCUGUUCACCAUGUGAGGAAGAUGGAGAGAGAUGUUGAUACUGCAUGUUUAAAUGCAAAGGAUCCCAAGCGAAAAACUUUGGCCAAAGAAUUAGAGGAUGAAGAAGAUGUUCUAAAGCAGUGUAUUGAGAAACUUAAAUUAGUUGAAGCAAAUAGAGAAGCCCUUGUAUCUCAAUUGAAAGAAGCACUGCAUGAACAGGAAUCUGAACUGGAGAAUAUUCGCACUCAGAUGCAGGUAGCACAUGCACAGGCAGAGGAAGCCAGCAACAUGCGGAAGCGGCUCAAUGAUGAAAACUUUACAGUGGCAAAACCAUCCCAUGCAACUUCACCAUUAGAAGCAAAUGCAAAAGUAGGCCAAGCAUCCAAGAGGACAGCUGCAGAUAUAGCAGCUGAGGUUGCAGACAAGCUUACAGCUUCGAGCUCCUCUCAGUUGAUCAUGACUUCUGUUCUCUCAACAUUUGCAGCUGAAGAGGCGAAGAAUGCCGGUCUGACAAAGACCUCUACAGUAUCAAAUUCUUUCACACCCAUGCCCAGCAAUUCAAAACCAGAAAACUCCAUGCCAGUUUCAGAUCCCAAUGUUUUUAUGUCAACCCAGACCCUUACUGCUCCACCAAACCAACCAUAUCAAUCAGUUAUUAUUGCCCCACCAACCAUGCAGAGCCAGACCCCAACUUCUCAAACUCAGUAUCAUAUGCUUCCCAAUCCACCUUCCCAGCAAUAUUUGCAACCAUCAGGAGGGAUUAUGAACCCAUAUGGUUAUGGUAGCAUUCCGCCCUUGCCACCAGGGCCACCUCCACCCCCAUCUACACUACAUAUGGUGAAUCCAAUGGCUCCUUUGCCUCAGCAGCAAUCAAUACCAUUGGUUCAGCAGCCAGCUCUAUUAACUCGUCAUCAACCUAUGCCCUUGACUCAGCAACCCCCAGCACCUCCCAGUUUCCGGCCGCUUCAGCUUCCUGGAAUGGUGUAUUAUGGUCUCCCUCAUCAUUCUCAGUGAAGUUCUUUGAGCCAAUGAAAGAUUCCCAUAGGGUUUUGAAAUUUUUGCUUGUGCAAUUGGCUCUGUUGAGAUGACAAGCAUGAAGAGCUCUGACAAUAAUUAGGCAAAUAUGCAUUUGGACAGCAACAGAUAAUGCAGGUAUAAGGGUAGCAAUUUCGUUUAUUUUCAGUGAAUUUGUAGAGUUUAUGUUCCAUAGAUGAUGAUGGUAAUGUUAAAAGUAUCUCCGGUAGUUUAUGAUUUUUCCUUUCUUCUGGAGAUUUAUACCCUGUAAAAUGAUGGUUUACAGACUGCUGACGGCCCUGUAUUGCAAAUCAAAUCAGAGAAAGGUGACUCGUCAAAGGGACUUGCCUGUUGUGUUCUCCCUUGCAUGAGACACAGUCUUUGGUUGGUUGCAUCCUUCUGGCUUCAACCUUCAGCGGAUUGACAAGAGACUUAAAAAAAGUCCAUUUGGGGAUGAUUUUUAGAGGAUGAAAAGCAUUUUAUAAUGCUUGAAAGCAAUAUAUAUAUUAUUGGAAUUAGGUAUUAAAUAAGUUUUAGAAAAUUAUUUUUAA